rnacentral:lncRNA from 1 species
UCUAUUGAAAUUGAAGCUAUUCAAAAUGACUAAGUUUUCUUUCAUGCCAAUUUUUGUCAUUUUCUUUAUUUUUUCAGGUAUAUAAAUUUUGUUAUUGUAUUUCGUAGCACUUAAUUAUGUGGUAAUGUUGAUUUAUUUUGUUAACAUGAUCAAAAACUUAAUUAUUAUAGGAGUGUAAUUAUGCUUUUCUUAUUCACAGUUGUAACAAUGAGAUGUCAAGCUGAUCAAGUAUGUACCACUCCCCGUGAAGGUGAUUGUUUCCUUGCUGGAUGUAGACAAUGGUGCUCUCAAACUUAUAAUGGCAACGGACAUUGCGAGGCCUAUGGAAACCCUACUAGUCCUAAAUAUAAAUGCAUUUGUGUACAUAAAUGUUAAGUCUAUAACAAAUAUAUCACAAAUGUUUCAAUUAUAAAUGUAAGAGCGAAUCAAAAUAAAUUCAAUUUUC